rnacentral:misc_RNA from 1 species
GAGCGUUACUUGAGCCCUUCAGUGUCCGAACUCGCGCAUCGCUGCUGGCUACCUUCAUCGCCACGGUUGCUGCGGCAGCGACGCGGGCUGUUGCUGCCUUGUGCCGGUUGGGCGACAGCUCGUUUUCUUCUUUCAGGUGUAGCUGCACACCUGCUCUCUUAGCCGGUUUGUAAACCGAUACAUAGGACGCACCUCCCCUGCCUAAGCACACACACACACACACACACAGGGAGAGAAGAGGAGGAAGCGGCAGGAAACGGUAACACGGAUCCGCUGGUGUUAUUGCUUCUUAUUUUGUUUGUUGCGCGCGCGACAGCUUCCUCGUUCACCCGAAUAUUUGACGCUUUACCCGCCGCACGACGCACAUCAAGUCGAAAAAAAAAAAAGAUGAAGGCGACUGUGUUGCGACGGCCGGGCGGCAGCGGCUUAGUCGGGUAUCCGACGCUGCUGCGGCUGCGGGCGGUGAAGCGGGUGGCAACGGCAAAGGUGAAAGGCACGGCGAGGAGCGGCAGGGCCAAAGAAGCGGCUGCGCCGACAGCGGGCAGCGGUCAUGGCUCACACAAACUGUCCUUGGCGGAGUUUCACCCUGCCAUCGCCCGCACAUGGAUCGCGGCGGCGUCGAACAAGAUGCUGCAGCCGCAGCACGUCGCCCCUGAUAGCCGCAAACUGGCGUGGUGGAUUUGCCCGUCUUGCCACCAUCAGCACAACAAGCGCAUAGAUCUUCACCUCGCCGCCGGGGGCGCGUGCCCCAAGUGUGAAGCAAAACCCACCUUGGCUGGCGGCGCGUCCGUGAAGAAGAGUGCGUCGAGUUCCCGUGGCGCCAGCAAUCCCGCCUCGCCGUUGAGGAAGAAGCAGGCAUCCGCUGCGUCAGCGCAUGAGCCUGUCCCUGCCGCAGCAGCACUUCGCCAUCGCUGCCGCCCCAACUCGACACUCGACACCAUCGCCGCCCGGAACGCGAACCUCCUCAGCAAGAGCGUAGCCGACAAUCAGUACCUUCGCGUGCAGGAGACGCGCAAUCUGCUUCCGAUGCUGGCAAAGAGCUACGAUAAGGAACGUUGGAAAAUCGCGCCUGCUGAGGUGCUGCAGGUGUCGCCGAAGCUGGACGGUAUCCGCUGCGUCGCCGCGUACCGAAUAGACACGAAGCAGGUGCUCUUCUUCAGCCGCUCCGGCACGCUCUUCGAGUGCUGUGAUGACGCCAUCGAGCCAGCGCUGCGGUACCUCUUCGAGAAGGACCCGACACUCGUUCUUGACGGCGAGCUGUACAACGACUCGAUCAACCUAGCGCAGCUUAGCACUGCGUGCAAAACAGCAGGAAAAACAACCCCGCCGCCCCCCACGGCGGCAUUGGCUGAGGCAGACCCGGUGUUGGCCUUUUACAACGCUCUCCUCGUUGCCGCAUAUGGAAAAAAGAAGCAUAAGGGUGGCUGCGCCCCUGCCGCUGCUGUGCCACAGGCAGAUGCGCCGACAGUGAUCCGCUUCGAUCAGCUCACGUCGGCGAUCCGCACGACACGUCAGUGGCGCACCCCUGAAGUUGCGGCUCUGCAGCGCCAGCUGCAGUACCACGUCUUCGAUGUCCUUUACAGCCGUGAGUUCCCCUACGGCCGAGGGUCGGCGGUUCCGUUCAGCGUCCGCUACGGCGUUCUUGAGCGACUGCUGGCAUCCGCGACAGCUUACAAUCUCGCGCAUAUUUCCCAGUACAAUCCACUGGUGCUGCGGCGCGUGCCGAGCUAUUCGUGCACCAUCGAUGCCGUUGACGCCGUGCUGCAAGCCGCCAUACGGGUGGGCUACGAGGGCAUCAUGAUCCGCCGUGAGUGCCAAGGCGCCACGACGGCUGCCGGCAAGGACGGCAGCGAAAAGGUGGAGUCGGCAACCAAGAAGAUUAAGCGGUGCGCUGCAUCCAGCGGAAGUAAAGCCGGCGCGGGGGCUGCGACGGCGAACAGUGACGGCGGGUACGGCUAUGGGCAGCGCAGCAGCACGUUGCUGAAGUACAAGGUGAUGCAGGAUGCAGAGUACGUCAUCGUAGGCGCGGUGGAAGGCUCCGGCAAGUGGAAGGGCUUUCUCGGCUCUUUCAUCUGCGUGACACCAGACAAGAAGCACCGCUUCACCGUCACCCCAGCGAGCACUGAUGCCGACAAGCGGCGGAUGUGGCAGUCGUGGAAGACGGUUUACAAGGGGAAGGCGCUGACGGUGCAGUACCAGGAGAUCACCGCAGACGGCGUACCGCGCUUCCCGGUGGGCAAGUGCGUUCGCGGCGCAGCUGAUGGGCGUGAUUGGCUGUAGUCGUUUUGGAACGAACGGGCGAAGGAGUGACGGAGGUCGAGGAGACUGCAGGGGCGGAGGACGUGCGCGAUGUCGUGUUAACGUUCUGCACUCUCUCUCUCUUCCCCUUUUCCUCCCUUCGAGUUAGCGAAGACAAGGGCCCGCUCACACGCACGGUAGAGUCGUACGCGCACCCCGAGCAUCGACACCUCCGUGUGUUGUUCUUGGUAAUCCGGCUUAGACCCUCGACCAUAGGUGCCCUGAGUCCUCUUGCCCUCUCGGCUGUCACCUCUGCCCUCUAGCCGCCCCGCGUCCUCGGAGACUCUUCGGAGACAUCACCCCACCACCACACAUCGGGUCCGAUAUCCCCCAUCGCUGUAGCGCACGUCAUCCUGGCCCACGACACUGGCCACCUUUACGCACCCCCUCCCCUUCCUCGAUCAUAGAGACGCACCCUCACUGCACCAACACCCUUCUAAAUCUACGUGGGCGCCUUCCAUCUCUUUCACUUGUGAUUUGUCGCGGUCACAUGGUUGUCGUCUUGCCCUUCCCCACCCCCUGUCGUUUCCCGCACACGCUGCCGGCUGCAUCCGUUUUUGGUGCCGCAUCUCUCUUUUUUUUUUUCGAGGUGCGCGUGGGUGCUGUGUUGCCGCCACCAACGCCACCUCCCACCCACCCCCCUCGCGUCACCGCCCCUCCUUCUGUCGUCGGCAUGCCGAUUGGCGUGCCGCUGCUCACCUCCCUUGUGUCGGAUCCUUCACAGUGAAUUUCUCAAUUCGCAGGUCAAUCGUGAGAGAGGGAGAGAAGUGGGGGAUGGUUGGGCGAGGCGGUGAUGUCAAUGGUGGCGGUGGUGCGGUGAAGGCGCGAACGGCAUGUGCGGUGCUGCCCCGCUGUUUUUUUUUUGUUUGUUUGUUUGGUCUGUUCUCUUCACCUCCUCCUUGUGUACCAUUUUUCAUCUCUCUUUUUUGUAUCACUCGUCAUCCUUCACUGUGUUUCCCUCCCUGCGUGUGUGCGAGCGUGCGUGGCACCGCCUAGACUGCAGCAGUCAUUCGCCUCGUCUCUCUUGCUCGCCACGCUCGCAGCACGUUGCACCACGGGAUCACAUCAUGCGAGUCUCUAGUCUUGUACCGCGAGAUGCACCGCCCCUCUGCACCCACCUCCCUUUUUUCUUUCUUCGCGGCUCGCUGCUCGCCCUCACGCUUGAGUCUUCAUACGGAGUGUAACCAGU